AUGAGGCUCGGAGGAGACCAGGCCAUAGCGAACCCUGGGCCGUCACAAUCCGCACAAGGGCCCAGGCGAGAAUCGCCUCAUCCAGCGGCCCACGCUCCCGUGCCUGCUACCACCAACCUGCCACCGGUACCCAGACGCGGGACUGGGCAGGGCCGAGAGCGAGGAUCAAGGAUAAAGGGAGUAGCCAGCGGGGAUGCUCUACCAAAAAGGGGCGUGUGCCGCGGGCCAGCGCUUGGCUCCCAGGGCCCAGGCCCCGACCGAGGAGAUGGACCAAGCGACCGCCCCGGGGGAGGGGGCAGGCAGGAUCCCCGCCGUGCCCGCGGGUCCCGGAGGGGCUGCCAUGGGGAGGGGGGGCGUGGACGGAGGACAAAGCCGGAGGCCGCGCCGGCAGGCAGGCAAGCAAGCAGCCCGCCCGCUGGCACGCACGCACGCACGCCCUCCCUUGCGGGGCCGGGCCGGGCCCGUGAGAGGAGGCAGAGUAUGGGGCCAGCACGCUCAUGCCGCCGACACCGGCGCGAGGCUCCGCCGGGCACGGGGCUGGGGGGCGUGAGGAUGAAGGGAACAUGCGCGCGCACCGGGGCCUCACCGCCGCCAUUUUGUUUCCUCGGCACAAUGGGGGAGAGUAACGGCCGAGCGCGGGAGCGAGGCCGGGGAUGGGGGAGGGGCCCGGCAGCGAGGGGCGGGCGGGGACUAGGGCCGGCUCCGGGGCCCAGGGGCAGCGGCCGCGCCGCUCCCCCGGGGGCGCCGCACAGCGCGUCAAGGACCCCGGCCCCCUGCCUCACGCCCGCGGGGGACCGGGCCCGGGGGAGGCCGCUGGGCCGCCGUGCGCAGGGGGGAGGGGGAAGGAGGAGAGCCCCGUCGGGGCCCGCCCUUACCUUGUCGGCACCCCCUCGCCAGCAGCAGCAGCCGCCGCCGCCGCUGCCUCCUCCAGCGACAGCCCCCGGGUCCCCCAACCACGCGGUGCGCUGGGCUGCUCUGUCCGACUGCAAUGGCGAGAGGAGGAGGAGGAGCCGGGACUGGGGGCGAGCGGGCGGGCAGGCGGGCGGGAGCGCGCGCCGGAAAGAUGGGAGCACGUGA
ensembl:lncRNA